AGCCGAAACGCCCCAUGUGGGCGUCUGCCUAGGGUGAUGCCUAGGUACUGACGAUGGUAGUCAGGU
rnacentral:hammerhead_ribozyme from 1 species